AGUCGAACGAAUCCCGGUGGGCAACUGCCGGGGGAAGUGGCGAAAGGGGCAGUAAGGCAUGGGUAACCUACCCCGGGGACUGGGAUAGCCAUUCUAACGAGUGGGUAAUACCGGGCGAUGUAAGCGAGGGGCAUCUCUUGCUUACGAGAUGAAUUUCGCCUCGGGAGGGGCUCAUGUAGUAUUAGCUAGUUGGUGGGGUGACGGCCCACCAAGGCGAAGAUGCUUAGCGGGUGUGAGAGCACGACCCGCGCCACUGGCACUGAGACACUGGCCAGACUCCUACGGGAGGCUGCAGUCGAGGAUCUUCGGCAAUGGGCGCAAGCCUGACCGAGCGACGCCGCGUGGACGAUGAAGGCCUUCGGGUUGUAAAGUCCCUUUAGCGGGGGAGGAAGGCGCAAGCUUGACCGACCCCGAGAAUAAGCACGGGCUAAGUUCGUGCCAGCAGCCGCGGUAAGACGAACCGUGCGAACGUUGUUCGGAAUCACUGGGCUUAAAGGGCGCGUAGGCGGCUGCGCAAGUCCGGGGUGAAAGCCCCCAGCUCAACUGGGGAAGUGCCUUGGAUACUGUGCAGCUCGAGCGAGGUAGGGGUCGUGGGAACUUCCGGUGGAGCGGUGAAAUGCGUUGAUAUCGGAAGGAACGCCGGUGGCGAAAGCGCACGACUGGACCUCUCCUGACGCUGAGGCGCGAAAGCCAGGGGAGCAAACGGGAUUAGAUACCCCGGUAGUCCUGGCCCUAAACGAUGGGUACUAGGUAGUGGGCUUACAUGGGCUCACUGCCGAAGCAAAAGUGGUAAGUACCCCGCCUGGGGAGUAUGGUC
rnacentral:rRNA from 1 species